rnacentral:lncRNA from 1 species
CUCUCCUGCUGCCAUGUGAAGAAGGAUGUGUUUGCUUCCCUUUUCGCCAUGAUUAUAAGUUUCCUGAGGCCUUCCUAGCUACUGGGAACUGAAAAUGAAUUUCAUACUCCAGUAGUGUUACCAAACUACAUUUCCCCAUCAUGGUAGCCUAAGCCAGGAAGUGGAGAAAAGAGAAGGAUGUCAUUAAGUGGAAAAUAAUCAGCAAUCUAUUGUUGAUGGCAGAGACAGCCCAUCCAGAGUGGCCGCUGUGAAAAAGCUGGCUGCAGCGGUGCGGCCGGGAUUGCACACUCCAUGGGGCCAGAGGGAGCCCAGAACAGGGGGAGCCCCAACCCCACCGAGUUUGCAUCAGGAGCCCACGCUCUCGGUCAGGCUGCAGCCACACAGCCACAGCUCCAAACCCAGGACAAAAAUAGGAGCUAAAU